GAGACUGUUGACCUGCCAUUCACACCAUCAGUUUUACUACUGGAUCACCAUGCAGAUGGUGAUCUUCUGGAUGUUCAUGCAGACCAUGAGUUUCUAUUAUGUCAGCUGCAAAGAAGAAGUUACCCAACUCCCUCGUUCAGCUUCUGCACAGGGAGGUGGCAUGUUUAAUAUGACAUGUGAAUAUACAACCACUUUUUAUGGCCUCCAGUGGUACAAGCAGGUGCCUGGAGAGAGACUCCAGCAUCUGACAAUCUUGAGAAAGGACGAAGAGAUUACACAGGACAGAUUUGUAUUUCAGCUGCAGAAAGAGAAACAGCUCAGCACCCUGUCUAUCAAACAUGUGGAAGUGUCAGACUCAGCCACAUAUUGGUGUGCUCUGGAGGCACAGUACUAGAAAGCAGCUACUCACUGAACAAAAACUGUUCUACCCACAUUUAGAUAUAGUCUAUUUCCACUGCAUUAGAUAACCAAUAUGCCAUGAAACACACAUGCAUGCAAAUAUGUGAUGCAUCUAUUAUUGAGAAAUCCUUUGUCCAGAAAGCUCUACAAUACAAUUUCCCAUAGGUAAAAAGCUGUAAAAUAUAAAUGGGAAGUUUAUCAAGUUGUGUUUAAUUCUACCAAUGCGAACGCCAGAAUAACUGCCGUUAUUUUAAAUUGCUUCCAGCGGAAGAAAAAACGUCUAAAAAUGUACACACAAUGCCUGGUGAUGUGUAUUGAAUUAUCCUGUCAUUUUUUUACACCAUAUAAUAAAUAUUCAUUAUACAAAUUUCGGGGGGUUGUGGAAGCACUCUAAAGGCUAAAUUAAAGUAUUUUUCAGUAUAAUGGAAGUGCUACUUACAAUGCACU